CCUACGGGUCGCAGCAGUGGGGAAUAUUGGACAAUGGGCGAAAGCCUGAUCCAGCCAUGCCGCGUGUGUGAAGAAGGCCUUCGGGUUGUAAAGCACUUUCAGUGGGGAAGAAAGCCUUGGGGCUAAUACCCUCGAGGAAGGACAUCACCCACAGAAGAAGCACCGGCUAACUCCGUGCCAGCAGCCGCGGUAAUACGGAGGGUGCGAGCGUUAAUCGGAAUUACUGGGCGUAAAGCGCGCGUAGGCGGUCUGAUAAGCCGGUUGUGAAAGCCCCGGGCUCAACCUGGGAACGGCAUCCGGAACUGUCAGGCUAGAGUGCAGGAGAGGAAGGUAGAAUUCCCGGUGUAGCGGUGAAAUGCGUAGAGAUCGGGAGGAAUACCAGUGGCGAAGGCGGCCUUCUGGACUGACACUGACGCUGAGGUGCGAAAGCGUGGGUAGCAAACAGGAUUAGAUACCCCCGUAGG
rnacentral:rRNA from 1 species